UUCGGCUUGUGGCCGACAGUUUCUUUAGAGUGCCGCCUUGCGGCCUGGCAACUAAAGAUAAGGGUUGCGCUCGUUGCGGGACUUAACCCAAUAUCUCACGACACGAGCUGACGACAGCCAUGCAGCACCUAUACAGCGGCCCUUGCGGGCACCAGACUUUCAUCCGGCUUCCACUGCACUUCGAGCCCAGGUAAGGUUCUUCGCGUUGCAUCGAAUUAAUCCGCAUGCUCCGCCGCUUGUGCGGGCCCCCGUCAAUUCCUUUGAGUUUUAGCCUUGCGGCCGUACUCCCCAGGCGGGGCGCUUAAUGCGUUAGCUGCGGCACGGAACCCGUGGAAUGGACCCCACACCUAGCGCCCAACGUUUACGGUGUGGACUAC
rnacentral:misc_RNA from 1 species